ACAGAGGGUGCGAGCGUUAAUCGGAAUUACUGGGCGUAAAGCGCACGUAGGUGGCGACGUAAGUCGGGUGUGAAAGCCCCGGGCUCAACCUGGGAAUUGCAUUCGAGACUGCAUUGCUGGAGUACGGAAGAGGAGGGCGGAAUUCCCGGUGUAGCGGUGAAAUGCGUAGAUAUCUGGAGGAACACCGGUGGCGAAGGCGGCAUCCUGGACCAACAUUGACGCUGAGGAGCGAAAGCCAGGGGAGCAAACGGGA
rnacentral:rRNA from 1 species